CUGCUCAGGACGAACGCUGGCGGCGUGCCUAAUACAUGCAAGUCGAGCGAGCGGAACUAACAGAUUUACUUCGGUAAUGACGUUAGGAAAGCGAGCGGCGGAUGGGUGAGUAACACGUGGGGAACCUGCCCCAUAGUCUGGGAUACCACUUGGAAACAGGUGCUAAUACCGGAUAAGAAAGCAGAUCGCAUGAUCAGCUUUUAAAAGGCGGCGUAAGCUGUCGCUAUGGGAUGGCCCCGCGGUGCAUUAGCUAGUUGGUAAGGUAAAGGCUUACCAAGGCGAUGAUGCAUAGCCGAGUUGAGAGACUGAUCGGCCACAUUGGGACUGAGACACGGCCCAAACUCCUACGGGAGGCAGCAGUAGGGAAUCUUCCACAAUGGACGCAAGUCUGAUGGAGCAACGCCGCGUGAGUGAAGAAGGUUUUCGGAUCGUAAAGCUCUGUUGUUGGUGAAGAAGGAUAGAGGUAGUAACUGGCCUUUAUUUGACGGUAAUCAACCAGAAAGUCACGGCUAACUACGUGCCAGCAGCCGCGGUAAUACGUAGGUGGCAAGCGUUGUCCGGAUUUAUUGGGCGUAAAGCGAGCGCAGGCGGAAGAAUAAGUCUGAUGUGAAAGCCCUCGGCUUAACCGAGGAACUGCAUCGGAAACUGUUUUUCUUGAGUGCAGAAGAGGAGAGUGGAACUCCAUGUGUAGCGGUGGAAUGCGUAGAUAUAUGGAAGAACACCAGUGGCGAAGGCGGCUCUCUGGUCUGCAACUGACGCUGAGGCUCGAAAGCAUGGGUAGCGAACAGGAUUAGAUACCCUGGUAGUCCAUGCCGUAAACGAUGAGUGCUAAGUGUUGGGAGGUUUCCGCCUCUCAGUGCUGCAGCUAACGCAUUAAGCACUCCGCCUGGGGAGUACGACCGCAAGGUUGAAAC
rnacentral:rRNA from 2 species